rnacentral:tRNA from 1 species
UGUCUCAUAUAUAUUUAAUUAAUUUAAAUUUUUAGUUAAAAUGCUAAAAUUAAUUUAUGGGACGA